rnacentral:rRNA from 1 species
UACGAAGGGGGCUAGCGUUGCUCGGAAUUACUGGGCGUAAAGGGCGCGUAGGCGGCGCAAGUAGUCAGGCGUGAAAUUCCUGGGCUUAACCUGGGGGCUGCGCUUGAUACGCUUGUGCUAGAGGAUGGAAGAGGCUCGUGGAAUUCCCAGUGUAGAGGUGAAAUUCGUAGAUAUUGGGGAAGAACACCGGUGGCGAAGGCGGCGAGCUGGUCCAUUACUGACGCUGAGGCGCGACAGCGUGGGGGAGCAAACAGG